rnacentral:rRNA from 1 species
UAAACUAGGAUUAGAUACCCUAUUAUUAUAAAUGUUUAUUUUUAUACUAAAUUAUUAAUAGUUAUGUUCUUUAAAAUUAAAAAAUUUGGCGGUAUUUUAGUCUUUUCAGAGGAACCUGUCCUGUAAUUGAUAGUCCACGAUUAGGGAUACUUUAUUUAUUAAUUUACAUAUCGUCGUAGUUUGAAUAUUUUAUUAGAAUUAUAAUAUUCAAGAUUUUAUUUUAGAAAAUAUAUCAGAUCAAGGUGUAGUUUAUAGUAAAGAAGAGGUGGGUUACAAUAAAUUUAUUUUUGAAUAAAUUUUUUGAAAAAAUUUUGAAUUUGGAUUUGAAAGUAAUUUUUUGAGUUUUACUAAAAAUGAUUAUAGCUCUAAAAUAUGUACACAUCGCCCGUCGCUCUUAA